UACGGGGGGGGCAAGCGUUGUUCGGAAUUACUGGGCGUAAAGGGCGCGUAGGCGGUUGGAUAAGUCAGCUGUGAAAACCACGGGCUUAACUCGUGGCCUGCAGUUGAGACUGUCUGGCUUGAGUGUGGGAGAGGAGAGUGGAAUUCCUGGUGUAGCGGUGAAAUGCGUAGAGAUAUGGAGGAACACUAGUGGCGAAGGCGACUUUCUGGUCUGUAACUGACACUGAGGCGCGAAAGCGUGGGGAGCAAACAGG
rnacentral:rRNA from 1 species